ensembl:lncRNA
UGUCAAGUUAGGCCAGAAAUAUUUGAGGUCAUUAGUACGUUUGCCCUUGUUUGUUUUUUCCACCAAUCCACUUCUCUCGGGUACAAGUAGUGCAUUCCUUUACCAGCGCGUUGGCAUGGCGGGCUUCACCCGCCUCGGUUGGAACGGGUUCCUCUGCGUCACCGAGGCCCAUUUGGGUUAAUGCAACCAGGAGGAGAGUGCCUGUCGCCUCUGCGUCAUUCAAGCGCAGGAGCUGGGAAGUGUGCCAAGGCCCGUGGGUUGGCACAGGUGAAGGCCAGGGUUAUGGCACCUGUUCAACCCACUCAACCAUGCACGCCACCUGUGCCAGGCCAUGCCACAGCCUGAGAAAUGAACUGUGCUCCUGUGUGUGUGUCUGUGUGUCAUGACACAAGACCUGCAUGGCCAGAGCUCUAGGUAUCUCAGAGUUUACAAAGGCAGAGACUGAUGCAGACAUUCCACAGAGAAUGGGCAUGUGUGAGUGUAAGGUCUUCUGCUCUAUAACUCUCAGAGUGUGUGUGUGAGUGAGUGUAAGGUCUUCUGCUCUAUAACUCUCAGAGUGUGUGUGUGAGUGAGUGUAAGGUCUUCUGCUCUAUAACUCUCAGAGUGUGUGUGUGUGUGAGUGUUUGUGUGUGUGUGUGUGUGUGUGUGUGUGAGAGUGUAAGGUCUUCUGCUCUAUGACUCUCAGAGUGUGUGUGUGUGUGUGUGUGUGUGUGAGUGAGUGUAAGGUCUUCUGCUCUAUAACUCUCAGAGUGUGUGUGUGUGUGUGUGUGUGUGUGAGUGAGUGUAAGGUCUUCUGCUCUAUAACUCUCAGAGUGUGUGUGUGUGUGUGUGUGUGUGUGUGUGAGUGAGUGAGUGUAAGGUCUCCUGCUCUAUGACUCUCAGAGUGUGUGAGUGAGUAAUUCUACUUAAUGACUGUCAGAAUAUGUGUUCCUGUGUGUGUGCAACUGUGCUCGUCACACCAGUGUGUGUGUGUGUGUGUGUGUGUGUGCAUACGUCACCUCAGUGUGUGUGUGUGU